ensembl:scaRNA
UAGCUAUAAAAAAUGUAUAGAUUCUCAAAGUGAAGAAAAACUUUUAUAAAUAUCUUAGAGAAAUAUAUUAGCUUUCUGUUCAUCCUUUGCAGGAAGAGAGGGUGAAUUGUCCCACUAUUAACAUUU